rnacentral:rRNA from 1 species
CACGAACGCUGGCGGCAGGCUUAACACAUGCAAGUCGAGCGCCCCGCAAGGGGAGCGGCAGACGGGUGAGUAACGCGUGGGAAUCUACCCAUCUCUACGGAAUAACGCAUGGAAACGUGUGCUAAUACCGUAUACGUCCUUCGGGAGAAAGAUUUAUCGGAGAUGGAUGAGCCCGCGUUGGAUUAGCUAGUUGGUGGGGUAAAGGCCUACCAAGGCGACGAUCCAUAGCUGGUCUGAGAGGAUGAUCAGCCACACUGGGACUGAGACACGGCCCAGACUCCUACGGGAGGCAGCAGUGGGGAAUAUUGGACAAUGGGCGCAAGCCUGAUCCAGCCAUGCCGCGUGAGUGAUGAAGGCCCUAGGGUUGUAAAGCACUUUCACCGGUGAAGAUAAUGACGGUAACCGGAGAAGAAGCCCCGGCUAACUUUGUGCCAGCAGCCGCGGUAAGAC